CUGUCUCUUAUUUCAUGUAAAGAUAACCUGAUUAAAAAAGCAGCUUUGGGUGGUGAUCUUUCAAAAGCAUAACCCCUUGGCUCAGUGUGAUGCUGCACACUUGUAAUACACACUCCUAAAAGAGAAUAGUAUUAAAAUCCAAUCUGUGGUUCCCUUGAUACCUCCCAUAUAUUCAAAGCUCUUGUAUCAGAGCAUAUUGACAUUACAUUAUUUGCAGUGUCCUUUCCCAUGGCAGUUCUGGGAUGCAGUAAUGUGCUGUGGUGAUCUUUUAUUAUUUUUGCUCUUUUGUGAAGCAGUAAGGGGAACCUUAACCCCACUCUUGCAUUAGGAUACAGGUGUGAGUAUUUUAGCAGUGCCUGUGGUUGGUCAGUGAGUUAUUUUGCGGAAUAAAAAAUGUGGUUUUUAUAACAAAAACUAAUUAGAUUUUUUUCUUUUCUGAGUUAAUGGUGGAUGUAGAGGUGGAGACAGCAUUGAGUCACAACAUGGUUGUCUACAUAGUCAGUUGAAAGCUGGAAAAUAGCACAAAGAUUGGCAGAAGUCAAUUUUUAGGUACAUUGGCCUGGGGAUGUUGGCUCUCAGCCCUCUCCAAAGCCAGUGCCUGCCUGGCAGCCCUUUGGGUGGGACCUCUGCUUUCAGAUGUGAUCAGAAGUGGAAUUCCUUUCAGGUACCGUGUGCUGCAGGGGCUCUCCUGUUUUCUUCUCUUUUAUUUCCUAUUUAUCCAGAUCAAUGACCUGAGAACAAAGAGCAGGCCUGCAUAAUCAUUAUUAAUGCAGAAGGAUGUGUAAAACCAUGAGGAAUUUGUUGUUUCACGCCCCUGCAUCCUCCCAAAAAUCUGCCAUCACAGUCAUUUGCAAAAGGCCUGCAAUCUGCCCUGGCUCAAAUAAAUCCCUUUGGUUUUCCCAUAGCUUUAGAAAAAUAUAUUUAAUAAUAAUUUUCCAUGAGCUGCACCACACACAGGCACAGACACACACACAUAUGCACACUUUUUCUAUUUGCUCUUCACAGAAAUCCUGCCAGCUUGCAGGAGGAGCAGAUAACCCAGCAUUUCUGUCUCCCUAAAUAUGAUUUUGUGAGAAGCAAUUGAACACCGUCAGUAGGUUCCUUCUCAAACAUCCUGUCUAGUUUUCCUCUGAUAUUUUCUUAAUUAAACCCACACUCUCUGGGUCUGGCUCUGCUGUCCUGUGCAAGACCUGCCUGAGGCAGAGCUGCCAUUUCAUUCUGCCAUAAACCUGAGCUCCACAAUCAGCAGAUUAAGCUUAUCCUCCUGACUGGACUCAUUCUCCACACAGAGCUGUGGGGUUUGGCAGUCCUGUGUCCCUCCACAACAGCUUAUCCUGGGCUGUGCCUUACAUCAAAGGUCACAGAGCAAAUCCCUUCCCCAGCCCAGUGCCUCCCCAGGGUAAAGCCUGGCACUCUAAGCCCUUGCAGGCAGUACCAGGUCUGAGGCUGCAGGGGGCUGUGUCACAUGCAAACAUGCAAGAUGGUUAAAUUAAAGCUGUUAAAUAAGCCUUUAAAAGUGAAUGUGAACAUCUUUGAGUUUACAUGUGCAGACAUGGCAGCACCACCCACUGGUGGUCUCCUGGCUGUCAUCUUCCACAUGUGAUGCUUCCAAAUCAGAGUUGGAAGGGUUUCUAUCUAAAUGUAAAGCAAUUAGUGUCUCCCAGACUCACCAGCUCAAACACUGGGUGACCCCAGUGAAACAGCUCCAUGCCCAGCCCAGCCUGGUGAGGGGGCUUGGCCUUGGGUGGCUUGGGUGGCCUCUGGUAGCACAUCCCCCUCCACCCAGAAACACACACAGACACAACUGUUGUAGGAUGCUGGCCUGGAUCCAGACAGAGCCCCCUCUCCAGGUGACCGUUCAGUCACCUCUUUGACUCGUGCAAGUGUUCUUCUGGCUCCAGCCAGCACGGGAAAUGUGCCACUUUAUGGGCUGGGGCAGCUGGCAGGGCAGCCGUGCCCAAUCCCAGGGUCCCAGCCGGGCAGGAGCAGGGCACACGUGCUUGGAAGGGCAGCUCAGGCUCUGGAUUGCUUUGAGAGCAAGUUCCCAAAUCCUGCAAAGCUAUUUAACAAAGCCCUUUUGAGAUCCACUGGCAUCCUCCCGUGGUGGGGGAUCUGCAGCCUAUAUAUAUAUACAUAUGUAUAUCUCUGUGUGACUGUAUAUAUACAUUUAUGCACAAUAUGUGUGUGCAUAUGUAUGUGUGUGUCCAGUUUGGGGAGAUGCAUUAAGAAAAUCUUCUAUUUAAUGAAAUAGUGAUAAAGAAACCAGCGAUUCUGCCAAGAACCAGUGCUCUUCCAGAUCAAGCCCCUUCCAUUCUGCAUGCUUUGUAAAGGAUUUAAUUUGUUUCCAACUUAAUUUAAUUCAAUUCCUUUCUUUAUCAGGUUUUUUUUUUUUUACAAAGCAAGACUUACUUCCCAUCUGAAUCAAGUCAUUGACCUUCCAAACAUUUUCUCAUUGUGAAAAAUGGAAUCUGAGUUGUCCCAUUCUUUUAGAGACACAAACCAAAUGGAAUCAAGAUUGUCCCAUUCUUUUAGAAACACAAACCAACUUUUAAUCUCAUUUUCUUUUCAUAUUACAGUCUAUGAGAUACUGUUAGGCAUUCCUUUAUGUUCCUUUUAACUACUGUAGUUAAAUCAAAAUGUUGAGUUCAGAUUUCAGUACAGCUGGGUUUUUUGGGCCGUUGCUGUGAACACAAAGAAUCCUCUUUAUUUUCUUUGCCUUUUUUUAAGCUAUUCUGUACUAUUAUUUUUAACCAUUUGAACUGUUUAUUUAAUAUUUAUUCUACACUUUAUAUUGAAGAUGUAAAGUUUAUAUUUAAAACAACACUGUUUGUUAGUGAAUGCUUCUCUUUGCCUCUCCAGCCUAGUCUGUUAGUCUCAGUGUACAUUUCUGGCAUGGGAAUAUUUUGAUAUUAGGAGUUUUGUAGCCUUUUCUCCCUCAAGCAGCAACUGAUGUAGAUCUAAGGUCACCACCUGACCCAGCCCAGGUCGCUCGAGCUUCGCUUCCUCCGUUUGUUGGCUUCUCUCGCAGUCCCUCCUGUGUCCCAUCCUUUCAUCCACAGACUGCUUUGUACAGUUACUACACAUCAAAAAGCCCUUUCUACAGUAGGUGGGUUUUGGUCUUUUUAUACUUUUCUCAAUGCUGUUGAUGUCUGUUACUGUUCAAUGUGUAGAUCUGUAAGGAGAGAUCCAAAUAUUACGUGUUUCAGUUCGAUGUCCCUACUGUAGAUGGAUGUAGACUAUCAUAGUAAGUAGAACUGCAUAGUGAAUUCUGAAUGCUUUUUCCAUAAGGAGUUAAGUGGAAUGUGAACAUUUUGCUACCUUUGGUUAACUGUAAAUGCUUAACUGUAGUCUGAAAUAGUUGCAUUUUUGUCUGUCUCAAUAAAUUUUAAUUUGUCUGCGA